UGAGAGAAUGGCGAAGCAGCUAUCGAAAAGUUCUUCAGGAGGAGAGACGAGUGGAGGAAGCAUCCUAGGUUCAACAAUUAGCCCAGCCAUGCCCUUCUCGGUUUUGGCCUCGAAGUCCCAUCAUCGACGUCUACCUGAUCGGCGAGCAGAUCUAUAGCAAACUCCUUGGUCCUUCCUCCUCCUCCUCUUCUGGGUAUGCUUCUAAUGGUGUGGUCUUUCCUAGGUUUUUCAAGAAAUCUUCAAAAUGGAAAAAUACAAUUAGAAUCCUAUCAUCGGAACCCUAGCUUGGUUUUGGUCAUAGGGACUUGCCAAAUGGAAGUUUAUUUUGGAAGCCGCAGCAAGAGGAAUCAUCCAUGCCUGCAAAGCCAGGGGAUCAGACCUAUGAGUUCAUUUUGAGGAUUGCUACAUUCACAUCUGCUCCCCAGAGGUUCUAAUCAUUUUUACUGACAAUUUUGAUUACCAACAUCUAUGGUGCCAUUUUGUCAAGGGAUUGCUUGUUGAUGAUUCUUUUGAGGAAGAAGCUGGAUAUUUUCAGUUUGCUACGACAAUAACAUCGAAUGAUAUUGAUGAAAUAUAGAAGUUUCUUAAUGCUGCUGUUGAUGCAAGAGAAGCUCUUGGUGUAGCAAAAGUUGUAGCUGCAAUGAUUGGUUUAUCUAUAAUCCUUUUGUUAGGAGUCCUUGACUAGGAUGAUUGCUUAAAUGAGAUAUUAGCAUGAGAUACCUUGGCUUGGUUUGUUGUUCUAGAGUGGGCAUGGCCAGGCAACUGACAAAUCUUGGUAAUGUAACCAUGAUGUCUAGCUGUGUUGCCAAGUUACUUCAAUCCUUCUCUCUGAGCUGGCUAGCUGCAUUUGGUGUUCUUCAGGCAGCUUAUUUCUUUAUCCACUACCUGUUUGCAAGUCAUUUUUGAUCUCGAGAUUAGUUCACAAACAAUUUGUAAUUUUUUCUAUUUGCAUACUACAUCUAUCUUGUAUGAUAUAAAAUUAUAUUCAAAAUUUGUUAAUGUUUCCAAGGUGUUUUUGUCAUGCUUCUCUUAAUUUGGAAUCAAUGAGUAUGUCAUCAUUAAAUAU